UACGAAGGGGGCUAGCGUUGCUCGGAAUCACUGGGCGUAAAGCGUGCGUAGGCGGGUCUUUAAGUCAGGGGUGAAAUCCUGGAGCUCAACUCCAGAACUGCCUUUGAUACUGAGGAUCUUGAGUUCGGGAGAGGUGAGUGGAACUGCGAGUGUAGAGGUGAAAUUCGUAGAUAUUCGCAAGAACACCAGUGGCGAAGGCGGCUCACUGGCCCGAUACUGACGCUGAGGCACGAAAGCGUGGGGAGCAAACAGG
rnacentral:rRNA from 1 species